CGGUGGACACAGUGGACACAGAUACAUAGGGACCCAAAAGCCAUCUGGGUCUCUGUACCCUUGGCUGUCCCUGUCCCAGGGGCUGUGCCAGGAGAUGGGAGGGGUGAAGACCUCUUCAGCGCGCCACUCUUAGCUCUGGGCCUAAAGACUCCAUUCCUGUUCAGUGUGGACAUACCUUCCCCCUUCCCGCAAAGAGGGAGAAGGAGACUCCCGAUCCUCUCCACAUUCCCAGUCUUCGGCAGGACAUGGAAGCCUCAGACAAAGGAAACUGGAAAACAAAAUCACAACGAAACCAAUCAUUUCUAUCUGGCCCCAGCCCGAGCCCUCCCUCCAAGCCCCUACAUAUCCUCCGUCUGAGGGAUGCAUGCAUGGAGUAGAGCUGACGGAUCCUGCAUUCCUUGUGCAGAGCAGAGGCCUUGCAGGUCUAGGCAGGCCCCUCCGUGUUGAGUUCUCCCAGUUUUGCCCAUCCUCUCUGGCACAUCGCCAGGAUUGUCCUCCCGUUCCUCGAGGAACCAGUGGCUGAAUCAGCACCAUGCCCAAGGCCUUCAUCACCUACAGCUCAUCUUCAUCCAGCUUUGCCAGCCUGGCCUGGCAGGGAGGGGUGCUCAGAGCUGGAAGGGCUGGAGGGUGG